rnacentral:lncRNA from 1 species
AAGUACAUCCCCUUAACUCACUUCUGUUUGCGCAGCUCUGUGAGUAUAUGGACGCAGAGCGCAUACGUCUUCUCGUAUACGCAGAAGUGAGAUGGCUUUCUAAAGGUAGAUCACUGGCCAGAGUCUUUGAGUAGCACAUUUUAGUGGCACAGAAUGGGUCACAAGACUUGCUUAUUUGAUGGCAUAUUCAACCUGCUCAAUGAACUCAAUCUGUCACCUCAGGGGAGAAUUACAACUGUGUUCAAGUCUGCAUAUAAAGUGGUUGCAUCCAAUGCCAAACUGGAAUUAAUGGGGGCAAUGAGCGAAUGUUGGGAUUUUUGACAUGUUUCAAAAAUUAGAAGAAAUUUUGAAAGAUACUGAGCCAGGGCCUUCUUUCUUCCAGCUGGUGCAUGAUCACCUAUCUCAGCUUUCAAGAGAGUCUGAACAUUAUUUCCCAACCACAAAAGACCCACCUCCACAACUGGGAAGGAAUGGAUCUGCAACCCAUUUGUGAAUAAGCCAGGUGAAUUGACUUUGUCUGUGCUGGAAGAGGAUCAACUGCUUGAAAUCGCAAAUCGAGGUGGCCUUAAAAGUAUGUUUGAGACAACUUCAAGUCUUUACACAUUCUGGAUUAAAGUCAAGGCAAAAUAUACUGAGAUUGCCACGAAAGCACUGAAAAACCUGCUUCUAUUUCCAACAUCCUAUCUUUGUGAAGCAGGGUUUUCUGCAGUGACAGCAACCAAAAUAAGAUUACAGAGUAGACUGGACAUAAGCAACACACUUGGGGUGUAAAAAAUUCCAGGGUUCCCACUGAUUCUAUGUUACGGUGAGUUGUGUAACUAUUUUAUUAUGUAUUACCAUGUGAUAAUAAUAGAAAUAAAAUGCACAAUACAUGUAAUGUGCUUGAAUAUUCCUGAACCCACCACCCCCAAACCCAGCCGUUGGAAAAAUUGUCUUCCAUGAAAUCAGUACUUGGUGCCAAAAAGGUUAGGGACCGCCGCAUUACAGAAUGUCAUAAUUGCUGCCUUUUAUGACGAAAAUGCUGUGUCUCAGUAGCUAAGACAGGCACAUUGAUCAACAACUACAAAAUCUAAGUGUAUUUAAUAUUAAGGUCUUUUAGAUAACUUAAUAGGCUUUUGAAACAACAGAGAAGCCCUCACUUUGCAGAUGUGUAAGUAACUUUUCCAUAAAGUUAAAUGAAACCAUUAAAAUAUUUUCAAUUAUUGGUAAUACAUCCAAAUAGUAUGAAUGGGGAAAAUAGGAUUAGUGUUAUCUGAUUGCCACUAGGGGGAGGAAAAAUCAGCAAAUGAGCAGCAAAUAUGAACUGGAAGAAAAUGCUCCAAAAAGUUGGCGUGGCAUAUGUAUUUUGGUUAACAUUUGUGAAGUAUAAGUAGUGCAUUACACAAUUAAAGAAACAUUUUUUAUUUUUUUACUUUUCUAUAUAUUCUACAUUAAAAAUAUGUUCUAAUUAUACACACACAUUUAAAAGAAAAAAGUCAAAAGACAUAUAAAUAUCAUGGGAACAUGGAACUUUAGAAUGAGUCAGGACAAGUCUUAGAUAACUUUGCUCAGCCUCUCUCCUUCGUGUGACAUCCCUAGUAGAACAAGGUACACCUACCUCUACUUGGAAACUUCUGGUGAUGGGGAUCUUGUUUUUUUUUUUUUUUUUUUUUUCAGUCUAACUCACUCUAGUAUUGAUCAUCACUGAGUCAGAAACUUCUCCCCAAAAUGGACUACAACAUGGCUACAUUUUAUAUUCACUUGUGGCACAGUGUUACCAUAUAUUGAACUACAGGUUGUGCACUGCACAGCUUCAUAGAUUACAAUAUGCAUAGCACACCCUGAAGAUCAGCAGUGUCACAGGGUCAAGAUUCCUUUCAUGGCCUAUAUCAUUGUCCAAGUUGUAUAUAUUCUUUCUUUGUCUUCCUUUUUCUCUUCCUCUUCUUCCUUUUUUCCUUUCUUUUAGCAUUACUUGACCUCUUUAGAGGGAAGAUGUGGCUCAAAAUAUUGCUUUGGGUUAAUGUUCUUUGUCUUACAUUUUUCCUGGAAAAAAAUUAAUCAGUGGUUUUUUCUUGAUUUUCCACAUUUACGAAGUUUGCUUUUAGACUGCAAAGUAACUCACAGCACAGUUUCAGAUGACUUUUAUUGACUCAUGAUCAAGGGAACCCUCAACACACAAAAGAAAUUGAGCAUGAAUUUGUCAUAACUACUGACUUAAGGCUAAGCAAGGCAUAUAUACAUAUAUAUAUGUGUGUGUGUGUAUGUUUAUCUAAUUCUCACAACUAAUCUGUGCAAUAAUUGUUAUAGCCACAGCUCUGUCCUGGAGUCACAUUAAAUAGUUCCCUCAUCUGCCAAUGCUCCUUUAUUAUGGGCUCUCAUGCAUACUAUCCUCUCUAUUGAAACACUCACUCUGACCAUCCCAACUUCCUCUUUUGUUUAUUCUCUCUUUUGCCUGACAAACUCCAACUUAUAAUUCAGGUUUCAGAAUAGACAUGGCCAUUUCCAUGAUCUUCCAUGACGGGCUAGUUGCCCUCCCUAUUUGCUCCCAAAUGCUUUGCAUGUCCCAUAUUUUAUCCCAUAAAUUUAUAUUAUAGUUGCCUAUGUACUAGUCUAGUCUCGUGUGCUAGACUGUCUAACAAUAGUCUCUUGUAUUAGACUGACCACCGUGAGAUCCAGGACCAUAGAAGGGGGAACAUAGUUUAAUCUACUACAGUGUAGUGAGGACAUGGAACCUGCACCUAUGCUUCCUGGAUGUAAAUCCUGUCUUUACCACUUACUAACUGAGGGUCUGCAGACAAAUUAAAUGAAUGAGUCUGUUUAUUUGCAAAAUGAGAAUAAAAUAGUCCAUACUUUCUGCAAUUGUUGUGAGAGAGAACACAGAAAAGGCGCUGAGAGGGUACAUGGCAUGCAGUAAGUGUUAUUCGUUUUAUUGAGGCUAGUCAUGAAUGUAAUCUCAAGCUGGCACAUAGUAGAUGCUCAGAAAUUUUUGGAGACCCAGGAUCAUCUCAAAUGUAACUUCUUCUAUAAAGCCUUCUCAAAUGCCCCAUUUAGAAGUCUUCCUCUCAACUCAGAUGACACCUUACCUCCUACUAUUUAAUAGUACUUCUUAUCUAUUACCAUAUAUCCAGCGAAUGUUUUCUGCAUGUCGUUUUCUUCCUACCAAGCCAAAGCUUCUAGCUGGCAGGCUCCAUAUUUGUCUCUAUUCAUCACAACACCUAUGGUAGAAAACAAUUGUUGGAUGAAUUAAUGAC